UACGAGGGAUGCAAGCGUUAUCCGGAAUUAUUGGGCGUAAAGCGUUUGUAGGCGGGCGAGUGUGCUUAAUGUUAAAUCUUAAAGCUCAACUUUGAAAUUGCGUUAAAAACUGCUUGUCUUGAGUAUGGUAGGGGUAAAGGGAAUUCCCAGUGUAGCGGUGAAAUGCGUAGAUAUUGGGAAGAACACUAAACAGCGAAGGCACUUUACUAGGCUAAUACUGACGCUGAGAAACGAAAGGUAAGGUAGCGAAACGGAUUAGAUACCCGUGUAGUCUUACCCGUAAACUAUGGACACUAAACGGUAAAUUUUUAAUUUACUGUUAAAGCUAACGCGUUAAGUGUCCCGCCUGGGGAGUAUGCUUGCAAAAGUGAAACUCAAAGGAAUUGACGGGGGCCCGCACAAGCGGUGGAGCAUGUGGUUUAAUUCGACGGUACACGAAGAACCUUACCAGGAUUUGACAUGCUAGAUAGUUGCUUGAAAGAGUAACGUGCCGUAAGGAAUCUAGACACAGGUGGUGCAUGGCUGUCGUCAGUUCGUGUUGUGAAAUGUUGGGUUAAGUCCCGCAACGAACGCAACCCUUGUCUUUAGUUAUUUUCUAAAGAGACUGCCUGUAAUAAACAGGAGGAAGGUAAGGAUGAGGUCAAGUCAUCAUGCCCCUUAUGUCCUGGGCUACACACGUGCUACAAUGGGAAAGACAAUGAGCUGCAAAUCUGUAAAUUUAAGCAAAUCUCUUAAACUUUCUCGUAGUUCGGAUUGUGGGCUGCAACUCGCCCACAUGAAGUUGGAAUCGCUAGUAAUCGCCAGUCAGCUAUAUGGCGGUGAAUCCGUUCCCGGGCCU
rnacentral:rRNA from 1 species